ensembl:lncRNA LINC03007 long intergenic non-protein coding RNA 3007
CUCUGUGAUCCAGGCUUUGAUCUGGGAAAGGUUGCGCCUCAUUGCAGAGUUGAAGCUAUCUGCCUGCUUUGUUUACACGAACGCCCUUCCAGGACUCUGUCUGCUUUUGGGGUGGAAGUGCCCUGCCAAAAACUCCAGCUCUCCAUGCUGGCUGUGUGGCCAGCAUACCUCCUGCCUUUUCAACGAUUCCUCUGCCCUGGAUAGAGAGCGGUGUCUCAUAACAGUUUGGAAACUACAAAAGUUUCCCUGGCAGGAUGAAUGAUUGACUCGGCAACAUGUUCUUGCCUUUUGGAGUUGCCCUCCAAUUUUUCCAGGCUUGAUUCUGUAAAUCAUUUCAUCUUGUAAAAAUACUGGGCUGUGAGCACGGAUGAUCUCAAAGAUGAGGAAACAGAAGCUGGGAUAUGUGAGUAAACAUUUCCAAGGUCCUGCAGCUAAUCAAUGGUUGACAACUUCUUUCCUCUGCCUAUGUUGCCAUCCAUGUCAUGGUUUGUGUCAAGACUCUAGGAGAAGUCUACCAUCAGCACCACAGCUACUGUGCACAAAUCCAGAAUGCCAGACUGAAGUCAGAAGGAAAGAUCCUUUAUAUAUUGAAAGAAGAAAGUAGAACCAUUUCUGGGUCCCAGCUGUGGGAAGAGCUCCUGUGGCUGUGAAUUCUGACUUCUGGGUCUUGGCACAAGGUGUGGCCAGCAAGCUAAGCUGUCCUGAGGGUGUGCAGGGCCAGGGGCUGAAGACAGUGUUGGAGCAUCCACAGACUGGUUUGUCUCAAGAAGCAUGUUACUAAAUAUGAAAUAGCAAAAUCUGCAAGUGGGUUUACUUUUCCCCCAUAGAUUAGAAUGGAUUCAAUAUUAUCUCUUUAUUAGCGUCACUUUUAAUCACUUGUAUAACAAGUAGGACAGAAAGGUGGCUUGAAAGUCAAUCAUGUGAGAAUUCCAGAUAAAUUGACUUUGCUCACAACAAUCUGUUAUUCAUGUGACUAUCAACUGUCAUGUGUGCUGGGGCAAAAAAAGAAGAUAAGGAUUCACUGGUAUCAGAUAGUUCCAGGAGGGGAAACCCAGGAUUGAACUUUUUCAGCCUUCUAUGGUAAAAUUUCCUGCUCUGUCGGUGCGCCAAAGCUUUUUUCAGUUUCCUAAACUCCCAUAUUCAAGAAGAUAAGCUAUUUUCUCUUCUUUCUCAUCCUUCCUUGACAAAGCAAAGCAUAUUUUCAUUGUCUACUCUGUGUCAUCCAUGCUUGGUUCCUGUCCUCAAAGAGCUUAUAGUUCAAAUAAAGGAGAGGGAGCAUUUUACAAGGGAAUUAAAGGUAAAAGAUUCUGAAAGCCAGUUUAAAAAGUCGUGAGGGAGGGGUCUGGGAGAAGCUGAGCAGGGGUGAAAGGGUACGAAACAUUAUGGAAGGAGAACAGGGGAGCACCCUGACUACUGGGUGGAAACACCAAUCAGUGGGUAGAAACCACACAGUGGUAACACUGAUCAGUGGGUAGAAAACAAUGACAGCAGGUAUAUGAGGCAUGGAACACUUGGCUUAUUGUAAAGUUUUCAAAAUAUGCAGUCCUUUCUAUCCACCAGGGGUUGGGAGUUGUCUUUGUAUAUCAACCGUGGAAGGGCUGUUUUGGUUCAUCAUUCUGUGGUCUACCUGGGUAGACCUGAUGCAGCCGUGUUUCUGAGGAAAGGAAGAACAGCUUUUGUUUUGUGAUAUGUAAUGGUAGAUGUAGUGCCAUGGAAUGAUGCAGAUUUCAUUCAGAUAUUCUUGGAUCUUGGCCCCAGGACUCACUCAUUCUUCCCUAUAUGAGCAUUGGUAGUUACAGGUUUUAUCCUUCCUUUAAUUGUAAGUCUUUUGAAGCCAAAAACUGUAUCCAAUUUGUCACUGUCUCCUAACAGUACUUAGCAGUGUCUGAUGCAUCAUAGGGAGUUUGUAAAUGUUUGGAUAAAUAAAGGGAAAACAAAAACAACCACAAAAAAACCUUUAUUUUGCUUUAAUAAAAAUAUUUUAACUA